CCUGAUAUCAAAAUUUUAUUCUCUUUGGAGAAAUUAUCAGAUUCAGUAUUUAACACCGAAUAUUCUCUAUGUUACAGAAUCUAUACCUCAUUUGGUUUUUGAGGUUUCUGGAGGGACUAUUUGUUUGAUGUGUUUGCGUAGGAAUACAAUCAAGUACGAUGAUUUUCCGGAAGUAGAGGUUUCAGAGGAGUAUUUUGGAGUCGGUGGUGCAGGUAAAUCCAUUGUUUACAGUUAAGCUCGAGGAGCUAACUAGGGGUCUUGGUGUUGGUGGUAGUUCUGAUUUUGGUAUGAAUGCCGCUUAAGAGAAAGUAGAGAAGCAAUAGAGGAGGCACUUUUAUGGUUCUGAGAUCGUAUUUGUAAUGGUGCAGAGACAUAUAAAGGGAGACGCAGAUAACACAAAAGAACUACCUUUUUACCACCAUUUUGACGCCUGCAAGUGUUUUACAGAGAUCGUGAAAUGUUGAAGUGAAGGUCAGUGACUAUCCGAGUAAACAGAAUGAGAAGAAGUCAAGUGGUGCUGUUAACCAAGAAAACAGUGGAGACACCAACGGUUCACAUAGGUCAUGUGCUGCUAUAGACGUAGCUCAAUGGAUGUGUAGGCGUGGUAUUCCGCAAUGGGUUUUGAAGUUGAACAAUGAGAUCACAAUCAAGAUUUGACAGUUCAACGGAUUAUCAAUGAACUCACAGUCAAGGUAUAUGAAACCGAUUGCCGUUUAGCUCUAGGAGUUGGGGACUUCCUGGAGUUUAAUAAUGUUGGCUGACUGAUUCUUUUAUUCUAUUUUUUGUGUCUAUAUGGUCAUGUUCUUCAGACGGAGUAAUGAGAUUUUCAGCCUUUUCAAUUCUUUCAUUUUGCCGCAACCAUCAUUUGCUUCAGAUGUGCAAAUAUAUUGAAAUCGAGAAAGACAAAAACGGAAGGAAACAUUUCUAUAAUAGGAUAUAGUGGAUUUUUUCUAGGAUUUCGCUUUCCAUAUCUCGUG